rnacentral:rRNA from 1 species
GACGAACGCUGGCGGCGUGCUUAACACAUGCAAGUCGAACGGAAAGGCCCUGCUUUUGUGGGGUGCUCGAGUGGCGAACGGGUGAGUAACACGUGAGUAACCUGCCCUUGACUUUGGGAUAACUUCAGGAAACUGGGGCUAAUACCGGAUAGGAGCUCCUGCUGCAUGGUGGGGGUUGGAAAGUUUCGGCGGUUGGGGAUGGACUCGCGGCUUAUCAGCUUGUUGGUGGGGUAGUGGCUUACCAAGGCUUUGACGGGUAGCCGGCCUGAGAGGUUGACCGGCCACAUUGGGACUGAGAGACGGCGCAGACUCCUACGGGAGGCAGCAGUGGGGAAUAUUGCACAAUGGGCGGAAGCCUGAUGCAGCGACGCCGCGUGCGGGAUGACGGCCUUCGGGUGGUAAACCGCUUUCGCAGGUGACGAAGCGUGAGUGACGGUAAUGGGUAAAGAAGCACCGGCUAACUACGUG